UCCCUGAACAUGAUAUGCUUCUUUGUUUUCUUUUAUGUCCCUUAAAGUUUUAAGAGUUUCUUCAUAUUGGCUCCAAACACCGAUUAUUAGAUUUUUUUCCCCUAGAGAUUUUAUAUUUUAAUUGCUAUUAUAAAUGGAAUCUUUUGGCCAUUAUAUAUACUUUUAACUCAAUGGUUCAUAACCAGGGGUACCAAACAGAAUCACCUGUGUAGCUUUUUAAAUAUGUGGACAUGUUCUUUGAAGGGUUAUUCUGAAAGAAAGUCAUCACUAUGAAAGCAAUUUUCUAUUGCAAAAGCUAUUUGAUUAAUUAUCUAUAAAAAUGUAAGCAACCACUAAUUUUAAAUGUCAUGAGAUACAGAAAUAAAAGCUAAAAAUACUGUUAUUUAUGCAAAUUUUAUUCAUCACAGAAAUUUUAAAUAUACAUAUUCAAAAUACAUACAAUCCUAAUAUAACAAUCCUAAACAAAAAGUUUGAUGUCUCAAUUCUUUGAUAAAUCUUAUCGGAUGAUACUGUGAUUCUAAAAAAAUUUAUAGGGCUUCUUUUACUGCUUUUCUCUCUGGCUUCCUUCCUAUCUGCGUGAUUCUGCCAAGUACCUUCAAAAAGCAUGUUUUGAAUUUUCCCCUCAAUUAGGCCUAUGAUAGCUCAGUUGGCUCCAUUUUGAGACAGUGAAAUGGGAGAAGAAACUGUUCUAUGGAAGACUAUGGGGUAUGCUUCCAUACUGUGUACAGAGAAAAACUACAGGUUUAUUCUGAAUUGUGAAGAAGUGGUGUUGUGAAUGAUCUUAGCUGUCUCCCUUUUGUCUAUCUGAAUUUAAAAAAAUUCAUAAUAAACAUGCAUGACACAUAAUUUUUGAAAAAUUAUCCCCAGUCAAGACCAUAAAAGAACCAAAAUAGAUCUCAGGUCUAGAGGCACAAGGUACGGCUAGCUGUAUGUAUUCUGUAAAAGCAGAGAAAGAUGGUGCUGGUAAGGGACUAGAACCUGAUCAUAUGAAGAAGUGCUUCUCAAAUUAUCUGUGGUGAAGGACCAGAUUUUUUCCCUCAGGUAUACCAUGAACCAACACUUUUGUAAAAUACAAAAUUAUGUGCUAUGAUUUCACAGCAAUGUCAUAUUACUACAACAGUUUCUAAAUGUUUACUCUCAAUUCUGUAAACUUAUCUUGUUGCAGACCAGUAACAGCAGAAAGACUGCUACUGGUCUGCAAACUAUUCUUUGACAGCAUUGCUAUAAAAGCCAGACCAAACUGGAUUUUUAUGACCAACAUUUCCUCUGAAGAUGACAAAAACAACUACAAAAACUGGACGAAAUAAAAAAAAAGAUUUUAAAGUUUCAAAGACUUAACAAUAUAAUGAUUGAAAAUGUACCGAAUGAGAAUGGGGAAAGGAUUAAAGCUCAAAGAUGUGAACCAGAGAUGCUUCCGCCUUGGGGGCGGCGAGAGGGCUAUGGAAAAAAGUUUAACAGAAGGCAGCUGAAUUCUCCUAUCUGCUUCUGCAUUUGAUCUCUUACAAUGUUAUUUGGUUGAAGUAAAUGAAGAAAAUCCAGCCUCAUACAGAUAUGUAAUUGGAAGAAGAUGCAUUUUAAUAGCCCUCUCAGACAUUUGUGAAUAUUCUUCUUUGAUACUAAACCAAAACUCAACAAAUGGCAGUUUCUUAAAGGUUUUGUGGAAAUUGUCUAGUAGAAUCUAAAACAUAAAUGGAAUCGCAAAAGGCCAAGAAGACCAAAGAUAUUUUUGGAGAAUAACAAGUUGGGAGGAUUUGCUCUACUCGAUUUCAAAAUGUAGCACUAUAAAGCUAAAGACUGCAUGCUAUGGACACCAGGACAAGAAUGGAGAGCCUAGAACAAGAACCAUACACAAAUGGAUGUUUGAUUUAUGACAAAGGUGUCAUUGCAGAGUAUUGGACAAAAAUAGUCUCUUCCAAUAAAUAUGUGCUUCUGUGUACGUGGAUAUGUGUAUCUGAAUGUCCAUGGCAGUAUUGCUCACGAUAGCAUCAACCUAAAUGUCCAUCAAUAGUAGAAUGGAUAACACAUUGGUAGGUAUAUUCAUACAAUAGACUAUACACAGCCAUGAAAAGAAAUUAACAACAGCUACACGAAGGAAUAUGGUUGAAUCCUAAAGAUAGAACAUUGAGUGAAAGAAGCAGACAGCAGCAUACAAACUGUAUGACUUAUUUUAUAUAUAUAUAGUUCAAAAACAGAAAUAAUCUUAUUUUGCUGUAAUUAAUAAUUAAAACUAGCAUUUACUGAGCACCUCCUAUGUAGUAUUUUACAUGCAUUAAUUCGUUUAAUGGUUACAAGAACACUGUGAGGUAGGUAUGAUUACCACCCUUAUUUUACUUAGGCGGAAACUGGGAAACAGCAAGGUUUUGCUCAAGACAUCACACAGCUAGUGACAGAGGCAGGAUUCACACUCAGGCAGUCUGACUUUGGAGUCCACAUAUUGUUCCUCCCACCAAAAAAAGAAAAGAAAAGAAAACAAGAAGCUUGGUUUACACAGAGGGAAGCUUCCUAACUUUUCUGCUCAAGGCUUUGAGCUACUUCAUGGAAGAUAAAAAAUUACAGCUAAGUCGGUAAAAUCAUAUUUAAAGAGAGGAUUCUGUAUAAAAAUCCAUUUUCAUGCCUGUGGUGGAGGCCCUAUGCUUCAGAAGCACCCAAGGGGACCUUCAGAAUGCAGAGCCUCCAUCCCUGUCCUCCCAGAUGAUACAUGUUAACACUGUAUUGUUGAUAUGGUUUAAAUGAAUUCUCUAUGCUUAAUGAGUUUGUCAAUAACUUUAAUCCUUGCAUAUACAAAUCAGUCUUUUUGAUUAAAAAAAGGAACUUUAAUUGUUUUAUUUUCUUUUAAUUCAGGGCUCUGCUUGUGAUACUAUUUUGAUGUCUCUACAAACAUCCCAUAACCACCACCU